rnacentral:tRNA from 1 species
CAAAGAAUAGUUUAAUUUAGAAUCCUAGCUUUGGGAGUUAGGGGUAGGAGUUAAA